UUUCAUGGAGAGUUUGAUCCUGGCUCAGGACGAACGCUGGCGGCGUGCCUAAUACAUGCAAGUCGAGCGGACCGACGGGAGCUUGCUCCCUUAGGUCAGCGGCGGACGGGUGAGUAACACGUGGGUAACCUGCCUGUAAGACUGGGAUAACUCCGGGAAACCGGGGCUAAUACCGGAUGCUUGAUUGAACCGCAUGGUUCAAUCAUAAAAGGUGGCUUUUAGCUACCACUUACAGAUGGACCCGCGGCGCAUUAGCUAGUUGGUGAGGUAACGGCUCACCAAGGCGACGAUGCGUAGCCGACCUGAGAGGGUGAUCG
rnacentral:rRNA from 1 species